AGUGUUGAUGAGUUUUAUGUGGAUUACGCAGAUGUUCCAGUUCCACUCUCUACUCAUUCAUCACGAAACUCAGUCAAGCCGAGGGUUCUGUCAUAGAAUGGCCUAAAGAGUUGAUAUUUUUGGUCUCAGAUAAUCAGGAACAUAUAUCUAAAGAAGGUGCGAAGAAGAAAAAGAAAACAGUUGCUAAUGAUCCUUGCACCGAUGAGUCUGCACAUAGGCACAUAGAUCCAUUGAUUAGCGUGUCACUUGAGGAUAUGUCUGAUGCGGUCAAGGAGAUGCAUCGU